rnacentral:lncRNA from 1 species
AUGCUUCAAUUUUCUUUUGUCUUAUUUUCUUUCCCAGAGCAGCUGGAUUGUGAGCAAACCAGUCUUCGCUUGUUGAUUGUGGUAAUAAUUUUGGAAAAAAGAAUCUUUGAAAUUUCUGAAGUUGAUGGGGAAGAAUUCGAGCUGGUGUGUGUGUGUGUGUGUGUGUGUGUGCGCGCGCGCACACUAGCACGCGCUUGCCUUUGUGUGUGUGGUGUUAUUUUUAAAAACAGGGAUGUGAAAUCCUAACAGAUUACUGGUCUGCCUUCGUGUUUUACAGUUCAGCUUUCAUGCAUAGGAGUUUUGGCAAACGUGGUUGUCAGUGGCUAUUCCUGAAGAAUUCGAGCUGGUGUGUGUGUGUGUGUGUGUGUGUGCGCGCGCGCACACUAGCACGCGCUUGCCUUUGUGUGUGUGGUGUUAUUUUUAAAAACAGGGAUGUGAAAUCCUAACAGAUUACUGGUCUGCCUUCGUGUUUUACAGUUCAGCUUUCAUGCAUAGGAGUUUUGGCAAACGUGGUUGUCAGUGGCUAUUCCUUCUAAACUAUAAUUCAAAUUACAUAUGGAACAGGCACAGAGGCAGACAAAACAUUAAAAUAGUAUGUGAAAGAGUGCUACCCAUUACUUUGAACCUACACUGCGAAGGGAAGGGCAGAAAAUCAAAAGGGAACAAUAUAAGAAUUAUUUAGUCAAUUUUAGUUGUAACACUGUGCAAAAGCUCGAAUUAACUAUGAGCCUUUCUUCUUACAAGAAGUGAGGUUAUUUUAUUGUAAGGAGACAUGGCUUCUCUUUCAAUGUCCAUCUGUUUUUCUUCUGAAACCUUUUCAUAAUCAAGUUACUUUCCUUGCUUGAGUGCCUGGGGACUGCUGAUUUUUACUGAGGACGAAGAAAGUUACAUAUUGAUUGCUGUUGCUCUCGGCUUGUUUGCUCCAAUGCGGACAGCAGCGGGAUCAAGAUCACCCUAGAAUUCACAUAGACUUAUUGAAAUGUCAUCAAACCCGACAGAACGCGUACACACACACACACACACACACAAACACACACACACACGCACACA